rnacentral:rRNA from 1 species
UACGUAGGGGGCAAGCGUUGUCCGGAUUUAUUGGGCGUAAAGAGCGUGUAGGCGGCCUGAAGGGUCAGCUGUGAAAACUCGAGGCUCAACCUCGAGACGUCGGUUGAAACCAUCUGGCUAGAGUCCGGAAGAGGAGUGUGGAAUUCCCGGUGUAGCGGUGAAAUGCGCAGAUAUCGGGAAGAACACCCGUGGCGAAGGCGGCACUCUGGGACGGUACUGACGCUGAGACGCGAAAGCGUGGGGAGCGAACAGG